CAACCCUCAGGCCCCCAGUGCCUGGCGUUGGGGAUCGGCACAACCGCCCUCCGGGGCGGCGCCGGCCCCGAAAUCUAGUGGCGGUCUCGCUGUAGUCCUCCUCUGCGUAGUAGCACAACCUCGCACUGGAACGCGGCGGCGACCAUGCCGUGAAACACCCCACUUCUGAA
rnacentral:misc_RNA from 1 species